rnacentral:lncRNA from 1 species
AUGCCGUGAGGGAAAGAAAGGGUGAAACACCUCGUGUUGAACCACAUCUUCGGCGUCGCUCCGACCGGCAGUCAGGGGCAGGGUGCUUCGUCGUGGCAUGGCACGAGUGUCUGUAGCACCGGUCGAUGGUAGGCGGCUUCGGUGAUCGCGGAAUUUCUCACCAGCGCAAUAUUUCUCCGUGGGACCACAUCGCGUCGUGAACAACACCGCGGGGACCUCGUGCUUCGGUAAUGCCCUCGGAUCGACUCUAUACCUCCUCUGCAUUGUUUAGCACCUGGUUACGCUUUGAAUCGAGCCCGGGCGUGACCAUUGGGCGCUCCCCGAUGAUGGCGCCGCCGUGGGCGGAAUCCGACUGACGUGGGGCGCGGUCGGGCGAGGGAGACGUGUCCCUAGGCGUCAAUCAAGGCUUCAACGACCGAGAUUAGAAGAUCGUAUAAUGUUUCACCUGGUUGAUCAUGAACCGUUGAUCCACAGAUGGACGUAGGACGUUAGAUCGAGGCACUUUAAAAUCUGCACCAUAGAUCUCGGGAUCAACGGCUGUGGUGCGUACCGUUUCGUUAUAAGAUCGACCUAAUCUGAGCCAUAGGAUAUUAAUCCUACGACCGUAGGCAGGUACGGUGCAAUAAGAUUGUGAGAUCUAAUAUGUGGCAUCUAUUUCGGAUCCAACGACUUAUCUUCGCCAAUACCCCUUCGCCCGGCAGGUUUUUGCAUAGGUGACCCCUUGUUUUUAGCGAAUUAACCCGCCGUCCACAAUCACUGUUAAAUAAUUACAACUGCACCCUGGAAUUUGUAGAUUAAACCUUGAGCUCUCUAGUAAUCAUGUCCGCGGCCCAGAACUUUCAGUUUAAUAAUAAAAUUAAUUAUAAAAUGAUUUAUAAUAUAGAAAUAAUUUCAUAAACUUGUUUAAUUCAUCUUAACUCUUUUUUGAGCCAUUCCAGUGGCAUUAAAUCCAUAAUUAUAUUGUUUAUCCCCUGGUAACUUUAUUUUGUUAUGAAACAUAAAUUAAAAUUAUGUACGUAAUUUCUUUUGUACCCAACUAUUAAAUUUUUGGAAAAUCAUAACUUUAUAACCGUAACUCCAAAUUUAGUGGUUCUCGAACCUGCGAUCUAGUUACGACACGUAGAACAUUAUUACACAGUUUGUUUUUAUGUUUGGUGUGAUGUUAAUUUUGCCUACACCAUAUUUGUUUGUAUUGCUACGAUUAGCAUCGAGGUCAUGAGAAUCUGAAGAUCAUCCUAGUACCUGGAAUCUCGAGCCUCAAGCAAGUUGUGCCCUUGAUCACUUUUCUUUACCCAAUAAUGUUCCUGCUAAUCACUGUGACAUGCUUAGGUUAAUCUGAUAGGACCUAAUAGGUUUUUCUAGACUUGUUUAUCCCACACCUUGUUUACCACUGAACCUUUGGGUAGUUUUGCUAUUGCUCUACCUGGUUUUGGGAUUAAUAUUACAUUAUGAUCAUGUUCCAGUUAUACUAUUGUUUUAAUUAUUGUUCAUGACAAGAUCAUUGUGUUAAUUGGAACAUGGAGCUUAACUUGAGAUAUCUGUGCUACCACAAGGGUGGAAUUGGACGCCCUUGGCUGACUAAUUAGGAAAGCUAGUGGAGGACUACCUUACCCGAAAGGGGCAAGGGUAGUAGGGGAGUUGUCGGUAUAGGGAGGUUCUCGGUUUGAUCAUGCUGCGAUGGCUUUUCGGACGGAGGAUUCCUAUAUUGCGCUCUCUAGAAACUGUAGCGGGUUUUCUGAAGCUAGUGGAACUUCGUAAAGGCCUCGUAGUGGAUCCCUAGCCAUUCACCUCGGAAGUGUCUAAGGGUCUAGCUAACCUUGGCUAGGCGAGAUACACGACUUGUGGGUAAAGGGCGCAACCUCUGUAGAUUGUAAAACUGGUAUAUCAACUGUGCUCGCGGUCAUGAGCAGAUCAUGACUCUCGCAUGAUUAAUUUAUGGAACUAAACUUAAUUUUUCAUAUGCAUUGCAUUGUGGGUGUUGUUAUUAAUUUGAUCUCUUACUUAUUUGGGUUGAUAUCUACUUAUACUUAGUAACUGCUAACAAAACUUUGACCAACUCUAAAAGCAAUGCAAAGCUUUAACCAUCUCCUUUGGUAAGCCUUACACUUCACAUGAGCUCCCACCUUUGGUGAGUUCAUGCACAUUAUUCCGCACAACUUGUUGAGCGAUGAACGUAUGUGAGCUCACCCUUGUUGUACUCACACCCCCUGGUCAAGGACAUGUACCACAAGAUGAGGCGCAUGAAGGAUGUUGUGAUGGGUUCAUGAGUGGUCUAGGUCGUCGUCUCCCAGUCAACUAUGGUUGUUGGAUUGAUGUCUUCGUAUGAUGUAAUUAUUUAUUUAUUUUGUACGAAACUCCUAUUAUAUAGUAAAG